AUUGAACGCUGGCGGCGUGCUUAACACAUGCAAGUCGAACGUGAAAGUCCUUCGGGGCGAGUAAAGUGGCGCACGGGUGAGUAACGCGUGGAUAAUCUACCCUUAAGAUGGGGAUAACGGCUGGAAACGGUCGCUAAUACCGAAUACGCUCCCGAUUUUAUCGUUGGGGGGAAAGAUGGCCUCUGCUUGCAAGCUAUCGCCUAAGGAUGAGUCCGCGUCCCAUUAGCUAGUUGGCGGGGUAACGGCCCACCAAGGCAACGAUGGGUAGCCGGUCUGAGAGGAUGACCGGCCACACUGGAACUGGAACACGGUCCAGACUCCUACGGGAGGCAGCAGUGGGGAAUAUUGCGCAAUGGGCGAAAGCCUGACGCAGCGACGCCGCGUGAGGGAUGAAGGUUCUCGGAUCGUAAACCUCUGUCAGGGGG
rnacentral:rRNA from 1 species